CGCUGGCGGCAGGCCUAACACAUGCAAGUCGAGCGGAUGAAGGGAGCUUGCUCCUGGAUUUAGCGGCGGACGGGUGAGUAAAGCCUAGGAAUCUGCCUGGUAGUGGGGGACAACGACUCGAAAGGGUCGCUAAUACCGCAUACGUCCUACGGGAGAAAGUGGGGGAUCUUCGGACCUCACGCUAUCAGAUGAGCCUAGGUCGGAUUAGCUAGUAGGUGAGGUAAUGGCUCACCUAGGCGACGAUCCGUAACUGGUCUGAGAGGAUGAUCAGUCACACUGGAACUGAGACACGGUCCAGACUCCUACGGGAGGCAGCAGUGGGGAAUAUUGGACAAUGGGCGAAAGCCUGAUCCAGCCAUGCCGCGUGUGUGAAGAAGGUCUUCGGAUUGUAAAGCACUUUAAGUUGGGAGGAAGGGUUGUAGUUUAAUACGCUGCAACUUUGACGUUACCAACAGAAUAAGCACCGGCUAACUCUGUGCCAGCAGCCGCGGUAAUACAGAGGGUGCAAGCGUUAAUCGGAAUUACUGGGCGUAAAGCGCGCGUAGGCGGCUUGAUAAGAUGGGUGUGAAAUCCCCGGGCUUAACCUGGGAACUGCAUCCAUAACUGUCUGG
rnacentral:rRNA from 1 species